UCUGGAUUUUUAUUUUGGUGCUACCUUCUUCCUGGCAGGCCUCUGAUCCUGCAACCAUUCAUCCAACUGGUCUUCUACUUCCUCAAUGGAUCCCGUCUGCUGAUAACUUUGGGAGUUCAGCUCAUCCGGUGAUGGAACAUAAACAGGAAAGUCCAUCUUUGGUUUCUUACACUUUGGCUUCUUCUCUCCUGGAAGUAUAAAAACAGGAAGUGAAAGGUCACGUGAGUUUAAACAAGGAAGGAAUAAUAAAAAAAGCAUUUACUGGUCAUAACUUCCAGUUGAGCUUCUUCUUCUUCUUCUUCUUCCCGCUGCUGCUGCUUCAUCUGCUGGUAAUCUUUGUAGUACUGUUGGACCUCCUGAACAUACAAACAAGUACAAACAUACAAACCAGAACCUUCCAAACACAUCACCUCAAUGCCACGACCGGGACCACAUAGACCAGAAGUGUACCUGCAGGGUUUGUGGUGCAUGUUUGAUUGACAGGUAAAUCCACAUGCUGACUUUCAGAGGAAGAAUGUCCUGCCAGUGGGGACGCUCCUGAGCCCUGCAAAGACCAAGUGCAAUAAGACAAGACCUCCAUAAACUGUAGAAGUGAUGUCACACAAGUACCUGUCGGGACGGUCUGGUGCAAUCCACUUGAGUUCCUCUGCUGGUUUGGAGUUGAUCUUCUUUUUCUUUUCCUUCUUCUUUUUACUCAACAGCUCAUCCUGCAAACAUGAGGUCACACAACCAAUUUCCUGAUUGUGCGAUCGGUGCUGAUUGGCCGACUUACCAGCUGUUUUUCCAGUAGAAGACGGGCUGCCGCCAAUCAGGAAGUCCAUUCAAAAGGAUGUCAUCAUACCUGCACAGCAGCAGGAGAGGUCCGGGUCACAGGGGCAGCAGUCUCAGUAGGAAAGUCCAGACUUUCCGGUUCCCGGCCACCUCUUCCACUUCCACCGGGAGGACACCAAGGCAUUCCCAAGCUAGCUGUGAGACGUAAUCCCUCCAAUGUGUCCUAUUUCUGCCCCGGGGCCUUCUCCCAGCCGGGCAUCCAGACUAGAUGUCCGAGCCACCUCAACUGGCUCCUCUCGAUGUGAAGGAGCAGAGGCUCUACUAUGAGCCCCUCCCGGAUGACCAAGCUCCUCACCCCAUCUCUUAGGGUGAGUCCAGCCACCCAAUGGAACAAACUCAUUUGAGCCGUUUGUAUCCGCGAUCUCGUUUUUUCUGUCACGACUCAAAGCUCAUGACCAUAGGUGAGGGUGGGAACAUACUGUAGAUCGAUCGGUAAAUUGAGAGCUACGCCUUCUGUCUCAGCUCUCUCUUCACGACGGUCCAGUAAAGGGACUGCAUUACUGCGCCGAUCCGCUUGUCGACCACCCGUGCCAACCUUACCUCACUCGUGAAGAAGACCCCAAGAUACUCCUCCACCUGGGGCAGGACCCCAUUCCCAACCCGGAGGGUGCAAUCCACCGUUUUCUGACUGAGAACCAUGGCCUCAGAUUUGUAGGUUCUGAAUCUUAUCAGUUUCACACUCAGCUGCAAACCACCCCAGUAAACGCUGGAGGUCACAGCCCGAUGAGGCCCGUUAGGACCACAUCAUCUGCGAAUAGCAGACACAAGAUCCUGUUUAUAAUAAGCCUUAUCUGUUUAUUAUAAGAUUAUUUAAAAAAAGAAUGUCUUAACUAA